AAAUGUGUUACAAAUAGGAACCAUGCCAUCCAGUUAUAGUUAUUCCAAAAAUGAAAUCAGAGGAACUUCACCCUCUUCAUUCAUUUUAGAAUUGCUAGUCACUGUUCCCUGUACAGUCAUCAUUCUCAGAGCCUCCCGUGCAGGACCAUAUAGAUUGGUCUUAGGCAGGGGGUGAGAAUGGCGUCCCUGACCUGUUUUAUCCGGGGGUUUAUUUCGGUCAAUCUUAUCAUGUACCUUUUGAUCUAUUCUUUCUUUGAAAGGCCCAAAGGGGUAAGCAUGCCAUCCCUCAGUCAUCCUUUGAUCUAUCUUUGCCUUUCUACACUCACUCUGUCUAUGACCACUUCUGUUGCAGUAAUAACAAGUCCCUCUGAAUGGAAUCUCUGGGAGAGCUUGCCUCCCUUCAUUAGUAGCCAUAAUUGCAAUAUUGUGAUGUCCUGUGACACCUUUCCUAAUUAAAUUUUGUCUAGCUUUUCCUAUAAUAGUUAGAACUCCUUCCAGAGUGUCUUUUUCCUCUGCUAUCAUUUGCACUCCGGGAUCUAAAUAAGUGAUUUUUUUUAUCAGGU